AUGAACCACGCGUGCAUUACGGUUCCUGCACGCCGUCCGCACCCACCAGGCGGUUGCUCAGUCGUUUUGUUGGUC
rfam:Xanthomonas albilineans GPE PC73 complete genome